AACAAAGAGCAAACGAAAUUAAAAUAAGGGUUUUUAAUUAUUUCUAAAAUUUUUUUAAAUUUUAUUUUAAAAAUUAAAAUUCAAAAACAAUUUUUUUGUUAGUUUAAGAGAGAUAAAGGGGACCUCUUUAAGAUUUUGCUCGGAAAGCCAAAACCCAAAGCUCCCUUGCUCCGAUUUGCAGAGAGAAUCCAAAGGACAAACAAGCAGCCUAUAGAGAAACAGAAACCCAAAAAAAGGAAAGCUCAAACGCAGAAACAACAACAACAACAACAAGCGAAGAACAGAAACAGCAAAUCCAAAGGAACAAAAAAAAAAAAAACACAAAACAAAACAAAACAAAAAGAAAAAAAAAAGAGAGAGAUAGUGUCUUAAUUUUUGACAGAAACGAAAAGAAAUUCAAUUCCAUUUCUUCUUAUCCAAUCAGUUGAAUUCGUUAAUUUUGACUGCGUUUUUUUCGUCGGGACAAAAAAAAAAAAACUUGAGGUUGGUACAGUGAUUUGAAAUUUCCCGUUGUUGCUUGGGGAAUUUUCGGGAGGGGGCAAGAGAGUCAUGUUAGAGAACCGGCCUUGCGAGUCGUAUUUGGUGAUCGCAAGCUCUUGUCCACGAGGAACCAAGUGGCCUUACAUGUACAAUGGGAAGCGUCCGGGGGAAUUCGACGAAUCCGAUGGUUGUUGUCGGGAAACCAAGUUGUCUAAGUUUUCUUCCGAUGAUUCCUCCAGCGACGAUAAUAAUAAUACUAAUACUACUUCUUCCCCACGAGACUCACGUGACGUCCUCUUGCCUGAUUCACGUGACCAAUCCGACGAUGAUAGUAAGUUAUCUGAUUCUUCUUCGGAUUUGGAUUCUUCACUUAUCCACCGCCACUCCAUUGGGCUAGACAAAACGGAUUUGAAUAACCAAUCAGACGAUGACAGCCUGUCGGAUUCUGUGGAGGACUUGCUGGAGGAACAAUCCGAGGAAGAUGAUGAUGAUAAUGGCUUUUUGGAUUCUCCUGAGGCGGAGGAGAAGGAGGAUGAGGAGGAGGGGAAUGAGGAUGGCUACCGGAAACAUGCUGGGGAUUCAUCAUCCAAUUUGGAUGCGUUAAUCCAACCAAUUGGGAGAGACAACUCCAUCAGUUGUCUGAUUAGGUGCUCAAGGUCUGAUUAUGGUUCCAUUGCCCUGUUGAACCGAAGUUUUCGUUCCUUAAUUAGGAGCGGAGAGAUCUAUAAGUUGAGGAGGCAGAAUGGUGUGGUUGAACAUUGGGUUUACUUUUCAUGUCUCCUCCUUCAAUGGGAGGCAUUUGAUCCAAUUCGACACAGGUGGAUGAGUUUGCCAAGGAUGCCUCCCAAUGAAUGUUUCAUUUUUUCGGAUAAGGAAUCCUUGGCUGUGGGAACUGAGUUGCUUGUGUUUGGGAAGGAGGUGACUUCUCAGGUUAUAUAUAGAUACAGUAUUUUGACAAAUUCAUGGACUUCUGGGACCAGUAUGAAUGCUCCGAGGUGCUUGUUUGGGUCAGCUAGUCUUGGAGAGAUUGCGAUUUUAGCUGGUGGUUGUGAUUCUCAGGGUAAUAUCCUGAGCUCUGCAGAAAUGUACAAUUCUGAGACACAGAGGUGGGAGACUCUCCCAAGCAUGAAUAAGCCAAGGAAGAUGUGUAGUGGGGUAUUUAUGGAUAAGAAAUUUUAUGUGAUUGGGGGAACUACUGGAGUGGGGAAUGAUACAAGGGUACUCACUUGUGGUGAGGAGUAUGAUUUAGAGACAAAAAAAUGGACUGAAAUUCCUAACAUGUCUCCUGGAAGGAAUGAAGCAGCCGGUGAGGCUGAGGUGCCUGCGGCAGCUGGGGCACCCCCUCUGGUUGCAGUAGUAAAUAAUGAAUUGUAUGCUGCUGAUCAUGCUGACAUGGAGGUAAAGAAGUAUGAUAAAGUUAGAAACUCAUGGUUGACUAUUGGAAGAUUGCCUGAAAGAGCAGUUUCAAUGAAUGGUUGGGGUCUUGCAUUCAGAGCAUGUGGAGAUCGCCUUAUAGUGAUUGGUGGACCUAGGAAUUCGGGUGAAGGUUUUAUAGAGCUCAAUUCUUGGGUUCCAAGCGAAGGGCCUCCACAAUGGAACUUGCUUGACAGAAAGCAAUCGGGUAACUUUGUGUAUAAUUGUGCUGUGAUGGGAUGCUAAGAGAUGGAUUUUCGUAGCAUCGUGUGCAGUGGAAUGGUGAUGCACUGCCACUGGGGUUUACAUGAUUGGUUUCUCCCCCAACACAUAAUUCUGAAUUCUUGCUAAUGUCGAUGAUGCAACAAAUUUCCGGUUUCGGUUCAUUUGAGAGCUCGAUUGAAAGACUCAUAUCGUAUCGAAAAUGGAGGUUGUGAAUCAGUGGCUAGAAUGAAUUCCUUGAGUUUUUUUUAACAAUUUACCCAACCUCAUUUUCUAUUUUUAUCUAGUUUUGAACUGUAUUGUUACUGCAGCCCCUUGGUUCAUACUGGCAAGUUUGACUCCUGGCUGAACUUACCAUGGACCAUGUGGGCUCGUAAUCUUUGAUUGGCUCAUGAUCAUGAAGCAGUUGUCCUGCCUCCAGGAGUUAGGCCUACCAUUAGCUUUUCAUUAAUUGUUUCUGGUAGAUCAUGUAAAUUUUGCCGUGCACAAAAUCAGAUGAACAACCCCCCCCCCAAAGUACUGUACUACUGUUCUGAGCAUAUCAACAGUGAAUAUGAUUCAAAUUAUGCAUGAGGUAACUUUGUCUUGUAGUGGAACAAGUAAACACCACAAAAAUUUGGGUACGCACGUGUUUGAAUUGAUGGUACAAUGCUUAAAAAUUUUCACCCAAGAAUCUCUUUCAAUUUAAACACUUAUUUAAAGACUUU